rnacentral:tRNA from 1 species
CCUUCGAUAGCUCAGUUGGUAGAGCGGUGGACUGUAGUUGGAAAAACGUGCAAAUAGAUAUCCAUAGGUCGCUGGUUCAAAUCCGGCUCGAAGGA